CGGAGCAAGCAGCAAUGGAGGCAAGGUUUAAUUAUUCGUGGAGCAGGGAGUAAAUAAAUCCCAGCUAACUCCAUUUUUUGAGAUGGAAGUCUCGCCACCCGUCUCUGCUGCAUUAACCACCACCGUUUCUGCAAUGCUAGUUCGUUAUCUAGCAACGUUCCAGACAGGCGUAUAUACCUUUCUAAGGAUUGAAGAUUUAGACCAGACUCUGCAGAUGUUUCCAUAUCUGGACUAUGAACAUCCAGACGGCCACUAGAUGGCAGCGAUAAGAAAUAAAGCAGGGGUGUCCACAGGGUAUGGUCACCAAAGUCAACAUGGCAGCCCCCAUCCCAUCAAUGCAAUCAACCUCUGCUUGUAUUUGGUUUUAUAUGUAUCACAAGUGACCCUUGCAAAAGAUGUCACAAUGUGGAAAAAAAUAAAUAAAAAACCACAACCCAUA